rnacentral:rRNA from 1 species
GGGAAGAGCCCAAACCAAAAAGCUUGCUUGUUGGGGUUGUAGGACACUCUAUACGGAGUUACAAAGGACGACAUUAGACGAAUCAUCUGGAAAGAUGAAUCAAAGAAGGUAAUAAUCCUGUAGUCGAAAAUGUUGUCUCUCUUGAGUGGAUCCUGAGUACGACGGAGCACGUGAAAUUCCGUCGGAAUCUGGGAGGACCAUCUCCUAAGGCUAAAUACUCUCUAGUGACCGAUAGUGAACCAGUACCGUGAGGGAAAGGUGAAAAGCACCCCGGAAGGGGAGUGAAAUAGAACCUGAAACCGUGUGCUUACAAGUAGUCAGAGCCCGUUAAUGGGUGAUGGCGUGCCUUUUGUAGAAUGAACCGGCGAGUUACGAUUUGAUGCAAGGUUAAGCAGUAAAUGUGGAGCCGUAGCGAAAGCGAGUCUGAAUAGGGCGUUUAGUAUUUGGUCGUAGACCCGAAACCAGGUGAUCUACCCUUGGUCAGGUUGAAGUUCAGGUAACACUGAAUGGAGGACCGAACCGACUUACGUUGAAAAGUGAGCGGAUGAACUGAGGGUAGCGGAGAAAUUCCAAUCGAACCUGGAGAUAGCUGGUUCUCUCCGAAAUAGCUUUAGGGCUAGCCUCAAGUGAUGAUUAUUGGAGGUAGAGCACUGUUUGGACGAGGGGCCCCUCUCGGGUUACCGAAUUCAGACAAACUCCGAAUGCCAAUUAAUUUAACUUGGGAGUCAGAACAUGGGUGAUAAGGUCCGUGUUCGAAAGGGAAACAGCCCAGACCACCAGCUAAGGUCCCAAAAUAUAUGUUAAGUGGAAAAGGAUGUGGCGUUGCCCAGACAACUAGGAUGUUGGCUUAGAAGCAGCCAUCAUUUAAAGAGUGCGUAAUAGCUCACUAGUCGAGUGACACUGCGCCGAAAAUGUACCGGGGCUAAACAUAUUACCGAAGCUGUGGAUUGUCCUUUGGACAAUGGUAGGAGAGCGUUCUAAGGGCGUUGAAGCAUGAUCGUAAGGACAUGUGGAGCGCUUAGAAGUGAGAAUGCCGGUGUGAGU